rnacentral:rRNA from 1 species
UGGGGAAUAUUGGACAAUGGGCGAAAGCCUGAUCCAGCCAUGCCGCGUGUGUGAAGAAGGUCUUCGGAUUGUAAAGCACUUUAAGUUGGGAGGAAGGGCAGUAAGCUAAUACCUUGCUGUUUUGACGUUACCGACAGAAUAAGCACCGGCUAACUCUGUGCCAGCAGCCGCGGUAAUACAGAGGGUGCAAGCGUUAAUCGGAAUUACUGGGCGUAAAGCGCGCGUAGGUGGUUUGUUAAGUUGGAUGUGAAAGCCCCGGGCUCAACGUGGGAACUGCAUCCAAAACUGGCAGGCUAGAGUACGGUAGAGGGUGGUGGAAUUUCCUGUGUAGCGGUGAAAUGCGUAGAUAUAGGAAGGAACACCAGUGGCGAAGGCGACCACCUGGACUGAUACUGACACUGAGGUGCGAAAGCGUGGGGAGCAAACA